CUCUGUUCAUUUGAGAUAUAAAAUUAGUAGCACAAAUUGAUUACUUUUUUUAUUUAUUUUAUCUAAAUAGAUAGUCAGCGAUUGUUUACAUGUUCUAUCCUGUACUUCAAGCUUUAUAUUCAUAUUGUACGUGUUGCUUUUGCUUCCCAUAAAACCAUUUCAAAGUUAAGUCCUGGGUCAUCAAAUGCAUCUGGUUCUAGCUCAUCAAAAGAGCAGCAUAAUCAACAAUAUCCAGGUUUUUCCUUUUAUAUACACAUUUUACAAAAUUUUGUUACUUUAUUAUAUUUACUGAACUCAAAAUUUAUCUAUUGCCAAUCCUCAUAUAUAUCCCCCUCCUGGGCGGACCUGGUUUCUUGUGUCAGCAAUGCCUUUAGCCUUUAAACUGAUGCUUGUUUUUUUGCAGUGCCAGAGGUCAAACGCAGAAAGCAACAUCGGACAAAGCAUUUUGAGAACCAAGAACCAUGUCUGAUGAGAGGUGUCUAUUUUAAGAAUAUGAAAUGGCAGGCAGCCAUAAAAGUUGACAAGAAACAAAUUCACUUGGGCACUGUUGGAUCUCAAGAAGCUGCUGCUCGUUUGUAUGACAGUAGAGAAUUGUAUUUGCGUGCUGCUGGGAUUUUUGUUGAUGUGAAUUCUCUGUUUUAAGAUAUGGAUAGGGGAGAACUACAGUACGCUCUGGACAUUGGAUGUUUGCUGGACACACCAUUAGAUGCGUCCCAAUUAGGAAGUCUUCUAUGCCUUAAAUUAGCUUGAUCAAGUGAUUUCUGAGUAUGGAAGAAAUCAUCAAUUGUGGAAGAAUCAUCAAAACUUGUGUGAAUAAUGGUUUUAACAUAUAAAAGAACAACUAGAAGUAGAUUUUAAUUAUCUUUUAUUUGUUUGGCCUCAA